rnacentral:SRP_RNA from 1 species
GGUUGGGCCCUGCGCGGCCGGCGCCUGUGGAACUCCGCCAGGCCCGGAAGGGAGCAACGGUACGCGGUUCCGCCGGGGUGCCGCAGUUCGCCUAACCGGA